GAAAAAAAUCACGCUCCCUUAUUCUCUCUCGAAAAACUUCAAUGAGUCUUCAGAAACCCUAGCUCGCUACACCAUCUCUCAAAUGACAUGGCUCUCAACUGUUAUCAAAUCAAAUUUGAAAUUCAUAAACUUUAUCGAUCUCUAUUCUCAUCGAUUCCAUUCACAUGACUCUCAAUCCAAAUCUCUUGUUCUCUGAAUCUCACUGGUUCUUGCUCUCAUCCAAAUUUCGUUUGGAAUUGGAUAGUAUAGUAAUCCGAGAGACUAUGAUUCUUGAACCAAAUUACACGAUUCCAGUAAAGCUGGUGGUUGGCUUACACACCUAAUCUAAUGCCUGCUGUACAUGUUGGUCUCCUUGGAUUGCUUCUGUUGUUCCAUGUAAUUAUUAUAAGAUAGUGUAAUUUAAGAAAGGUGCAAACUACCUUGAUGAUUGAAUUGUGAAAGCACUUAUUGCCCGUGAUACAAGAAUUGUCCGCAUCAAAGAUAGAAAAAUGCAAACUGCACUGCAUAUGACUGUCAAAGGAUAGAGUACAUCAAUGGUGGAAGAGAUAUUACAAGCUGAUCCAACUAUAUUGAAUGAGUGCGAUAAGAAGGGUAAUACAGCUCUUCACAUGGCUACGAGGAAAGGU